UACGUAGGGUGCAAGCGUUGUCCGGAAUUACUGGGCGUAAAGCGCGUGUAGGCGGCAAGCCAAGUCGGGUGUGAAAGCCCUGGGCUCAACCCAGGAAGUGCAUUCGAUACUGGCAAGCUAGAGUCCCGGAGAGGAUGGUGGAACUCUCGGUGUAGAGGUGAAAUUCGUAGAUAUCGAGAAGAACACCGGUGGCGAAGGCGGCCCCCUGGGCCGGCCCUGACACUGAGACGCGAAGGCGUGGGGAGCGAACGGG
rnacentral:rRNA from 1 species